UCCUGUGUUGUGGUGAAGUCCUUAGGACUAUUUAGACUCGACAAAGGAGGAUUUGUCGCUUAGUCCUUAAACCUAUUCGCGACCAAAUGAUACGUUGUUACCAAGGACGACAACGUUUAUCGAGCAUAGGUCGUUGUGUGCCAUAUGGGUUGGUUGUCCUCAUAAUCAAAGAGUGUGGAGACACUGGUAUGGCAUACAGGUGAGAUGUAAUGGUAC
rnacentral:lncRNA from 1 species